rnacentral:lncRNA from 1 species
CAUUCGUUCUUCUUCUCCUUUCCUUCUCUCUCUAGAUCACUCCCUCUCUCUCUAAGCUCUUGGAGGAUGGAAGAAUGAAAUGGAAGUGAUGAUGAAAAAUGGAAGGAAGGGGUCUAUAUUUAUAAAAAGUGAGGACCGUUGAAUUUAUGCCAAAUGGUAAAAUUAGGUGAAGAGAGAGAAUGUUGAGUGAAAAAUGAGCGAUGUAACGUGACGCAAC